AUGAAAUGUUCUGUGUUGUUUGUCAGAUUACUUUAUUCUUUUUUUUUACUAAGGUCUCUGGGUGCAACCAAUAAAGUUUGGAUCAUAAACAUUCAAUCACUGGUAUAUUUUCUGCUGACAGCAGCGGUAGAUCUGUGUAGAGACUCAUGAUGGGGCUUCUGAGAGCUGACUUAUCCUGGAAUUUACAGAACCUAAUUGGAGAAAAGGAGCUAUCCUUUGGAUCUAGAAAAACUGCUUUGAAGAGGAGAAUGCUGCUUUCUGAAUUGUUGUUAGUGCUGUUUCUGAAAGCAGAAUAUUUUUACAACCUGUUUUUUGGACUCCACUUAAGCUUACCAUCAGGAUGCUAAACCUAUCUGCUAGUAUAAAAGAUUGAUAAGAAGUGGGGUUAUUGAUGGUGGUCAUGGGAUCAAUGAUUCAAGAUUAUCUUCUGUUGAUCAGGUUUCAGCCAUAGAGGAGCAGCAAAACGAGCCUGACAUGAAUCUUACCUGUUUCUUUAUUCAUACUCUUCUGGACAGUUGCAUUCAAACAAAUGAUUUUAUUAUCUGUUUCAUGCUACUGCUUUGGGAAGUUGAACAGCAGUGGAGACCUAGGAGCUCUUUGCAGACUCGGGACAAUACCACCCCAGGCUCAUAUUUGGAAGGAGGGUAGUGAAAUACUGGUACAGGUUGCCAGAGAAGUUGUGGAGUCUCCAUCCUUGCAGGUGUUCAAGACUAGACUGGACACAGCCCCGAGCAACCUGAUCUAAUUAGACCUGCUUGGCUAAAUGACCCCCAGAGGCCCCUCCCAAAUUUUUCUAUGAUCUAUGCAUUAAUAAAUUAUAUGUUCUGAUUAGAUUCUGACCA
rnacentral:lncRNA from 1 species